rfam:Beta vulgaris subsp. vulgaris contig102042.1, whole genome shotgun sequence.
GGAAUUCGGAGCGACGCACUCCUCCUCCCAGCGUCCCUCCGAUGGGAUUGGCAACUCUCCUCCUCCCAGUUGCCAAUCAUUAUUAUGACGCCCGCUGGACCUCCUCCCCCAGCGGGCGUUAUAU